GAAAACUCUGGAAUCGUGUGAGGUUUGCUUCCAUGGAGGUAACUAGGCACUUUCAACACAAGCAAACAAGACCACACAACUGUAUGAUGCCUAUCAAUAUUACAACAUGUAACUGGGCACUUUCAACACAAGUGAACAAGACCACACAACUGUAUGAUGCCUAGCAAAAUGUAAAAUAUGUAACUGGGCACUUUCAACACAAGCAAACAAGACCACACAACUGUAUGAUGCCUAUCAAAAUGUAAAAUAUGUGAGUAUUUUGGUGUUUCAUAAUUCAUGCUAAGAAUAAUUUUGCCGGAAUAAGUCAUUUAGGAUGUAUGGGAUAUAACUAGGAACAUGAAUGAAAUGAAAUGUUUGGGCUCUGAUUCACUUUGUAACUGUGCAAAGUUGAGUGUUAUAAUGUAUUGCACUAAGAUAAUAGCAUAAUCCUUACACUAUAAAGGAUCACAAACAAGUCAUUCGUCAUACACUGUGGGCUUACUAAAAUUUAAUUUUUUUUCCUUUUGUUGCAGAUACCUUUCACUUACUGCAAGUAUUUCACUUUGGCAUAAAUGUG